UACGUAGGGGCAAGCGUUGUCCGGAAUCACUGGGCGUAAAGCGCGCGCAGGCGGUCAUCUACGUCUGGGGUGAAAGCCCGGAGCUCAACUCCGGGAUUGCCUUGGAUACGGGAUGACUUGAGGAUCGGAGAGGCAAGGGGAAUUCCACGUGUAGCGGUGAAAUGCGUAGAGAUGUGGAGGAACACCUGUGGCGAAGGCGCCUUGCUGGCCGAUUUCUGACGCUGAGGCGCGAAAGCGUGGGGAGCAAACAGG
rnacentral:rRNA from 1 species